AUUGAACGCUCGCGGGAUGCUUUACACAUGCAAGUCGAACGGCAGCGCGGACUUCGGUCUGGCGGCGAGUGGCGAACGGGUGAGUAAUGUAUCGGAACGUGCCCAGUAGCGGGGGAUAACUACGCGAAAGCGUAGCUAAUACCGCAUACGCCCUACGGGGGAAAGCAGGGGAUCGUAAGACCUUGCACUAUUGGAGCGGCCGAUAUCGGAUUAGCUAGUUGGUGAGGUAACGGCUCACCAAGGCGACGAUCCGUAGCUGGUGUGAGAGGACGACCAGCCACACUGGGACUGAGACACGGCCCAGACUCCUACGGGAGGCAGCAGUGGGGAAUUUUGGACAAUGGGGGCAACCCUGAUCCAGCCAUCCCGCGUGUGCGAUGAAGGCCUUCGGGUUGUAAAGCACUUUUGGCAGGAAAGAAACGUCGCGGGCUAAUACCCCGUGGAACUGACGGUACCUGCAGAAUAAGCACCGGCUAACUACGUG
rnacentral:rRNA from 1 species